AUCUCUUAUUCCAAUUCAUUAACAGUUCAUUGUAAGGAGAUAUAUGUAUAUAUGAUGCACUCUUUAAUGGCAGCAAUGUUGUAUCAUUUUAACAAGACUACAAAAUUUAUCUUUCCAAAAGUAUAGCAACAACAAUUUUCACUCCAAAAUAUAGUAGCAACGUUGUCCAAUUUAAGCUCAAUCCAAGUUCAAUCAUAGUGAUCCUUCCGUUGAGUUGAGGAUUCUAACAUCGGUUUUUCCGAAUCUAGCAAGUAGAGAUUAGUUCAUGGUAAACUAAGAUUCACAAGUUUGGGAAGCUGACGUUAAGUUUAAAAAGCGACAAGGUACAGACACUCAGUUUGGUGAUCCUCCAGCCUAGGACUUCUGCUCAGCUGUUUGGAGAGCUCCAUUGUUUUGGAGCCUGAGUCAUUUUGGUACAGAUCCUCUGACAUAGAUUUAUGUGUAUCCAGGGGUAUGACAGGGCCCUGUCCCGUCAUAUUUCAUUAUUAUACUUUUAGAGGUAUGUAGACGUGUGUGGGUUGUAUAUAGGUUUUGGUCAGCUAUAUCAAUAUUGCCCGUUUUGGA